GACGAACGCUGGCGGCGUGCUUAACACAUGCAAGUCGAACGGAAAGGCCCUGCUCUUGUGGCGUGCUCGUUUGGCGAACGGGUGAGUAAAACGUGAGUAUACUGCCCUUGACUGUGGGAUAACUCCUGGAAACUGGGGCUCAUACCCGAUAUGAGCUCCUGCUGCAUGGUGGGGGUUGGUAAGAUUCGGCGGUUGUGGCUGGACUCGCGGCUUAUCAGCUUGUUGGGGGGGUAGUUGCUUACCAAGGCUUUGACGGGUAGCCGGCCUUGGAGGGGUAACGGCGACAUUGGGACUGAGAGACGGACCAGACGCCUACGGGAGGCAGCAGGGGGGAAUAUUGCGCAAUGGGCGGACGCCUGAUGCAGCAACGCCGCGUGCGGGAUAACGGCCUUCGGGUUGUAAACCACUUUCGCCUGUGACGAAGAGGGAGUGACGGUAAUUGGUAAAGAAGCACCGGCUAACUACGUG
rnacentral:rRNA from 1 species